rnacentral:rRNA from 1 species
UACGGAGGAUGCGGGCGUUAUCCGGAUUUAUUGGGUUUAAAGGGUGCGUAGGCGGGAUGCCAAGUCAGCGGUAAAAAUGCGGUGCUCAACGCCGUCGAGCCGUUGAAACUGGCAUUCUUGAGUGGGCGAGAAGUAUGCGGAAUGCGUGGUGUAGCGGUGAAAUGCAUAGAUAUCACGCAGAACUCCGAUUGCGAAGGCAGCAUACCGGCGCCCUACUGACGCUGAGGCACGAAAGCGUGGGUAUCGAACAGG